rnacentral:rRNA from 1 species
UAGGGAAUCUUCCGCAAUGGACGAAAGUCUGACGGAGCAACGCCGCGUGAACGAAGAAGGCCUUCGGGUCGUAAAGUUCUGUUGUUAGGGAAGAACAAGUACCAGAGUAACUGCUGGUACCUUGACGGUACCUAACCAGAAAGCCACGGCUAACUACGUGCCAGCAGCCGCGGUAAUACGUAGGUGGCAAGCGUUGUCCGGAAUUAUUGGGCGUAAAGCGCGCGCAGGUGGUU